rnacentral:rRNA from 1 species
CCUACGGGAGGCUGCAGUAGGGAAUAUUGCUCAAUGGGGGAAACCCUGAAGCAGCAACGCCGCGUGGGGGAUGAAGGUUUUCGGAUUGUAAACUCCUGUUAUCAGAGAAGAUAAUGACGUGAUCUAAUGAAUAGUCAACUGCUAACUCCUUCCCAGGAGCCGCGGUAAUACGGAGGGUGAAAGGGUUAAUCGGAAGCACUGGGCGUAAAGAGCGUGGAAGUGGGAUAGCAAGUCACUGGUGAAAUCCUAUGGCUUAACCAUAGAACUGCAUUUGAAACUGGUAUUCUAGAGUAUGUGAGAGGAAGGUGGAAUUCUUGGUGUAGGAGUAAAAUCCGGAGAGAUCAAGAAGAAUACUCAUUGCGAAGGCGACUUGCUAGAACAUAACUGACGCUGAGGCGCGAAAGCGUGGGGAGCAAACAGGAUUAGAUACCCGUGUAGUC